GAUCUCGUAGCUCAGUUGGUAGAGCACAACACUUUUAAUGUUGGGGUCUUGGGUUCGAGUCCCAACGGGAUCA
rnacentral:tRNA from 2 species